rnacentral:rRNA from 1 species
UCUCUAUGGAGAGUUUGAUCCUGGCUCAGGAUGAACGCUGGCGGUGUGCCUAAUACAUGCAAGUCGAACGAGGCCCUUUGUAUUCGUAUGAAGGUGUCCUAGUGGCGAACGGGUGAGUAACACGUAGGUAACCUGCCCCGAAGAGGGGGAUAACAGCUCGAAAGAGUUGCUAAUACCCCAUGUGGUCACGAGGGUUAGAAGCCUUGUGACUGAAGGAGUAAUCCGCUUCGGGAGGGGCCUGCGUCCCAUCAGCUAGUUGGUAGGGUAAUGGCCUACCAAGGCGAAGACGGGUAGGGGACCUGAGAGGGUGGUCCCCCACAAUGGAACUGAAACACGGUCCAUACACCUACGGGUGGCAGCAGUAGGGAAUUUUGCACAAUGGGCGAAAGCCUGAUGCAGCAACGCCGCGUGCACGAUGAAGGCCUUCGGGUCGUAAAGUGCUUUUCGGGGAGAUGAGGAAGGACAGUAUCCCCGGAAUAAGGAUCGGCUAACUACGUGCCAGCAGCCGCGGUAAAACGUAGGAUCCGAGCGUUAUCCGAAUUUACUGGGCGUAAAGCGCGUGUAGGCGGUUUGGUAAGUUGGAUGUGAAAGCUCCCGGCUCAACUGGGAGAGGUCGUUCAAUACUGCCAGACUAGAGGAUGGUAGAGGGAGGUGGAAUUCCCGGUGUAGUGGUGAAAUGCGUAGAUAUCGGGAGGAAC